rnacentral:tRNA from 1 species
CGGAUAGUGACCGAGAGGAAAGGUUGUGGCAAAACUCAGCAACAAGGGAUGGUGCUCGCUGAAAUGCGAGGGACUGAGUUCGCGGGUUCGAAUCCCGUCUAUCCGA